AUCUAAGUAGUUUAAAAAAAAUAUUAAUUUGUGAUGUUAAAGUUAUAUAUAAGUUAUAUCUUAGAUU
rnacentral:tRNA from 1 species